AGCUUGCAUUCUUGAUAAAAAAUCAAACAUGGCUUUAAUAUCUGUCAUUGUUUGGACGCUCAUAACCUGCAUCUGCGGUUCUGUGGGGCAGAUUUUGACUCAAUCUGAAGAUCAAAUGAUGAAGCCUGGUCAAACUGUUACUGUUCACUGCAAACAAGAGCCAGCAUUAAAUUGUUUGAAUCCAAAAGAUAACUCUCAGAGAUGCAUGUCCUGGUAUCAUCAGAUUCCUGGAGAACCUCCUAAACUCCUGAUCUAUUACACAUCAGACAGAGCUUCAGGUGUUUCUUCUAGAUUCAGUGGCAGUGAAAGUGGAAACCACAUGGAUUUUACUCUGACCAUCAGUGGAGUCCAGCCUGAAGAUUCAGGAGUUUAUUACUGUCAGAGUAAACACAGUAAGACAGGAGACUCAAAGAACCCAGACUGGGUGUUCACACAGUGUGAAAUCAUCAUACAAAAACCUCUGUGGUUGAGACUGCAGCAAUGCAGCUUUGAGCUUCUGCAGAUGUUAAAGAUCAUUAUUCACCUCAAUGACUUUGUGGCCAAAACCUAUUAAAUGCAGAUGAAUUUUACAUUCUA